GGGACGUAGCUCAGUUGGUUAGAGCGCUACCUUGACAUGGUAGAGGUCAUAGGUUCGAACCCUACCGCCCCC
rnacentral:tRNA from 1 species